GUAUUAUAAGAUUAUUUUUUUAUGUAAUCUCAAAAUGAGUUCAGUUCAAUUUAAUAAAGGAUAAGAUAAUUGUUGGGGACGGCCAAGAAAAAAAAUAAAUUCUUUUCUUAACCAUGUUUAAUCCCCAACAUAACAUACGGUCAAAGCCAGCACAAUGGGAAGAAGCUUCAAUGAAUGAAGACUCACUUCAGUAAUGAUCCUUCCGCAGGUUCACCUACGGAAA
rnacentral:misc_RNA from 1 species